AAUGUGUAAUUGAAACAGGCAUAAUCAGCAACUGGCAGAAUCUCCUGUUGACUCUCCAAUCUGUGAAAUGAGGAUCAGGAUCAUAGAAAAGGCAAAGUGGAAGCCUCUAGAGAAUUCUUCCAUAUUAGGAGUGGCCAGGUUUUUCUGGGAGAACACAGAGAACAUGGGUCAAAAGUCACAAACUGCAGUGACACAGAAUGGCAUCUGAGAGGAAUUUGAACUUGGGAAGAAUCAUCUAAGGACAGAAGGUCAUCCUGGGGACAAGGACUCCAUAGAUAUUGCCCACUAAUUUCCAUUAACAAGGGUCCCAGAUAUGACUUGGUUCCUGACUUCUGAAGGCCUGGAUGUUUACUCUUUCCUAGGUUCUGUGAGAAAUUCAAUAUCCUUUUAAGAAAUCUGGUUCUUUUCCUUAAGUUACCUUGAAUCAAUUUUAGUUGUUUGUCUGCUACCAAGAGUUAUAGCAACUACUCUCUUUAUUGAAUUUAAGUGUCUAUAUGACUAAUGACUCAGCUUCAUUAAAUGUGUGAAUAUCUGAAAUCUAAGUUUGGGCUCAUCAAGCUUAGCUACUGUUCUAUGACACCAAGGAAAUCACCACAAUAUUGAAAAGUCAAUGUAUCCAACUUGAAUUAAUGAACACGUUUUUAAUCUUUUUUGAAAAGUUUUCAAUAAAUAAGAUGAAAGGUGAGAAAAAGACAGCCAUGGUGUCUCUAAAAUAAAAUAAAAUCUACUUGCAUUGGC